rnacentral:tRNA from 1 species
GUUCCAAUAGUGUAGUGGUUAUCACAUCUGCCUAACACGCAGAAGGUCCCAGGUUCGAGACCUGGUCGGAAUA